rnacentral:tRNA from 1 species
GAGAGUAUAGCUCAGUGGUAGAGUGCAUGCUUAGCAUGCAUGAGGUUCUAGGUUCAAUCCUCAGUACCUCCA